UAAGAAUAACUACUUUAGUAGAAGUUGUUAUUUCUAAAUUUCUCAAUCAUUCUCAAGCCUUCACCUUCACUCCAAGUCAUAUCUAAGUAAGAGGUGUAUCAAAGAAAAUUAAAAAAUGAUGAAAUAGAACUAUCAAAAUUAAGAUAAAGAUGUUGCUGAUAUAAAAAUCUACAAUGCCUACUUUAUAAAUAAACUAGUGAUUUUACUCUUUAAUCACUCUCAACUUCACUUAUAAGACUUUUCACAAGUCUUAUAUUCUAUCUAAAACUCAUGUGUAAG
rnacentral:lncRNA from 1 species